UCCGCGCGCUAGGCACCCAAUCUCGCUCGCACACCAGCCGCCGCACAACCUAGCUCCCACUUUCCCCUCGAUCCACUGCCCCUCCCUCCUCCCCGCUCGUCACCAGGGCCUCGCCGCCACCUACUCCUCCUCCGCCACCGUUGCUGCUUCCCCACCUCGACUUCCCUCUCUCCGUUGUUUAUCCGGUCGUCGGCGGCGCCUGGUUCCAGAUCUGGCGCAAGUUAGGCGAGCCCGGUGGUGGGGCGAAGGGGCAGUGGAGGCGGGCGACCAGGACAAGCAGCUGUCGGCCCGUCGCGGGUGAGGCUCCAGAGGGAAGAGGCGGGGACAGGAGGCUCGAGGGAAGAGGGAAGAGGGAUGAGGCGGGGACAGGAGGCUCGAGGGAAGAGGGAAGAGGGAUGAGGCGGGGACAGGGUGAAGGAGCAGGCUGGUCCUCGUGGAGGCGGCGCCGCCGGCCAGGGGCCAUUCGCCGUCGCCGGCCUCACUCGCCUCGUCUAUUCUCUCGUCACCAACUCGAUGAUGGAGGAUGGGACAAGCAUGCCGGUGGCCAGCCAGUGGAGCCCACCACAGGUGGAGGAGCCAUGAUGUGUGUGAGGUAGAGGUAGAUCAUUGGAGGUGAAGCAUGUCUCCUUGAUGUGUGCUUCAUCUGAGUUUCACGGGGUACUUAAGCAAUGGUUGCACCCCGCCACAUCACAUACCAGAUGCUCAGAUUAUAAGAAAGAGGAAUUUUAUAAUUCAGGCAUCGAUUGCUCACCUUUGAAGGUUGCAGAUUCAAGUGCUAGGCUUUAAGGAUGAAGCAAAUCCCAAUCUAGAAACAUGUGUCGUGCACCAUAUAUUUGUCACCAGAAACGAAUGUGCAGGCGACGGCCAUUUGAUUAGUGUUAUAUCCAACUAAGGCUAGCUGACUGCUGUUUGAUUAUCGAUUCAUCUACGGCAGCACAGACAGGCGUAUUAUCUUGGAGGUUGCUUCUUAUUUUUACUAUAGAUCAAGUUUCUUUGUUUCCUUUCUAGCUACCUCUGCUGCAUUUGUUUUAUAUAUCCUACAUCCUUUAAAUAUCCUAUAUGCUGUCAUGAUCCUUUUUUCAGUGAUCAUGUUGAUUUUCCUGAUUUGGUCGGGUGUUGUGUUUUUUUUGCCCUUGUGCUCUUUGAUCGAUGUGCUCUGGCUCUGUGACUGUGAUGAUGCACAGGCAAUGGCGGCAUGGGUGGCAUGAGAGGAAGGAUGGGAAUCAGCUACUUGCAUUCGCACGGAGGAGGCAACGUCGACGUGAUGGCACAUCAGAGGAGGCUGGGCUCGUUGUGGAGCUUCUUGAGGCAGCAGGACAUGAUGUCGUCCAUCACAGAGAUGGAGAUGGCCAUGCCCGUGCCGAUGCCGCCCGCGGACGUCGGCGAGAGCAUCGCUGCCGGCAACGGCUUGAGUGACCUCUUGAGGAUCUUCUCCAUGAGCACCUGGGACGACACCAACUCCAACAUCAUGUUCUCAGCGCCCGGCAGCAAGAAGGCCGAGGUGCUCGGCGACAGCGAUGUCGGCAUGGUCACUAGCUUCAGCAACAUUGACUCCCAGAUUCAGUUAGCCCUCUCGAGCUGGACAUGCCCAGCAUGGACGACUACCUGCAGCUGCAGCAGGACUCCGCCGACUGCAGAGUCCACGCCAAGCGUGGCUGCACCACUGAUCCGCAGAGCAUCGCUUGGGAGGGAAAGAAGAACAAGGAUCAACCAGAGGCUAAGGAGGCUGCAAGACCUCAUUCCCUACAUGGACAAGGUCACAAGAACUGAAUAUACACGUAGAAGAAACUUGAGAGCCAAUAUUAGUGCUAAAGGAUUACUCUGAUUGCCGAUCUAUGCUGUCGCGGCAACAUAGGCCAAUACACAUUCAGGAAAUAUGUGACCAACUUUCCCAAGGUCUCGCAUCAUCUACUCAGGAUAUUCUGUGCCCUAAGCCCUACAGAAUAAUGCCCAGUCUAAUUUCAACAGUGGGACAACCUCAAACUUCUCUCUUCAAUAUUGAAGAAGCGGCUUACUCAGAUCCAUGGGCAUGCACUUAGAAAAAUAGCUAAAGAGUACGAGAUAUUCCUAGAGUAAAUAAAGGGCUUAUGUGCUCAUAAGUUAGACAGAAGCAAAAUGUUAUUUAUUAUGCUCCUGUUGUAUCCUCGGACAUUUUAUUCCACCUAUAAUACCCCAAUAUCGAAUAUCUACUUUCGCACUGUUGUACAGAAACUGAUGUUAAUAUUUGUGCAUACUCUUUGUCUUAA